rnacentral:rRNA from 1 species
UUAAGCGACUAAGCGUACACGGUGGAUGCCCUGGCAGUCAGAGGCGAUGAAGGACGUGCUAAUCUGCGAUAAGCGUCGGUAAGGUGAUAUGAACCGUUAUAACCGGCGAUUUCCGAAUGGGGAAACCCAGUGUGUUUCGACACACUAUCAUUAACUGAAUCCAUAGGUUAAUGAGGCGAACCGGGGGAACUGAAACAUCUAAGUACCCCGAGGAAAAGAAAUCAACCGAGAUUCCCCCAGUAGCGGCGAGCGAACGGGGAGCAGCCCAGAGCCUGAAUCAGUGUGUGUGUUAGUGGAAGCGUCUGGAAAGGCGCGCGAUACAGGGUGACAGCCCCGUACACAAAAAUGCACAUGCUGUGAGCUCGAUGAGUAGGGCGGGACACGUGGUAUCCUGUCUGAAUAUGGGGGGACCAUCCUCCAAGGCUAAAUACUCCUGACUGACCGAUAGUGAACCAGUACCGUGAGGGAAAGGCGAAAAGAACCCCGGCGAGGGGAGUGAAAAAGAACCUGAAACCGUGUACGUACAAGCAGUGGGAGCACGCUUAGGCGUGUGACUGCGUACCUUUUGUAUAAUGGGUCAGCGACUUAUAUUCUGUAGCAAGGUUAACCGAAUAGGGGAGCCGAAGGGAAACCGAGUCUUAACUGGGCGUUAAGUUGCAGGGUAUAGACCCGAAACCCGGUGAUCUAGCCAUGGGCAGGUUGAAGGUUGGGUAACACUAACUGGAGGACCGAACCGACUAAUGUUGAAAAAUUAGCGGAUGACUUGUGGCUGGGGGUGAAAGGCCAAUCAAACCGGGAGAUAGCUGGUUCUCCCCGAAAGCUAUUUAGGUAGCGCCUCGUGAAUUCAUCUCCGGGGGUAGAGCACUGUUUCGGCAAGGGGGUCAUCCCGACUUACCAACCCGAUGCAAACUGCGAAUACCGGAGAAUGUUAUCACGGGAGACACACGGCGGGUGCUAACGUCCGUCGUGAAGAGGGAAACAACCCAGACCGCCAGCUAAGGUCCCAAAGUCAUGGUUAAGUGGGAAACGAUGUGGGAAGGCCCAGACAGCCAGGAUGUUGGCUUAGAAGCAGCCAUCAUUUAAAGAAAGCGUAAUAGCUCACUGGUCGAGUCGGCCUGCGCGGAAGAUGUAACGGGGCUAAACCAUGCACCGAAGCUGCGGCAGCGACGCUUAUGCGUUGUUGGGUAGGGGAGCGUUCUGUAAGCCUGCGAAGGUGUGCUGUGAGGCAUGCUGGAGGUAUCAGAAGUGCGAAUGCUGACAUAAGUAACGAUAAAGCGGGUGAAAAGCCCGCUCGCCGGAAGACCAAGGGUUCCUGUCCAACGUUAAUCGGGGCAGGGUGAGUCGACCCCUAAGGCGAGGCCGAAAGGCGUAGUCGAUGGGAAACAGGUUAAUAUUCCUGUACUUGGUGUUACUGCGAAGGGGGGACGGAGAAGGCUAUGUUGGCCGGGCGACGGUUGUCCCGGUUUAAGCGUGUAGGCUGGUUUUCCAGGCAAAUCCGGAAAAUCAAGGCUGAGGCGUGAUGACGAGGCACUACGGUGCUGAAGCAACAAAUGCCCUGCUUCCAGGAAAAGCCUCUAAGCAUCAGGUAACAUCAAAUCGUACCCCAAACCGACACAGGUGGUCAGGUAGAGAAUACCAAGGCGCUUGAGAGAACUCGGGUGAAGGAACUAGGCAAAAUGGUGCCGUAACUUCGGGAGAAGGCACGCUGAUAUGUAGGUGAAGUCCCUCGCGGAUGGAGCUGAAAUCAGUCGAAGAUACCAGCUGGCUGCAACUGUUUAUUAAAAACACAGCACUGUGCAAACACGAAAGUGGACGUAUACGGUGUGACGCCUGCCCGGUGCCGGAAGGUUAAUUGAUGGGGUCAGCGCAAGCGAAGCUCUUGAUCGAAGCCCCGGUAAACGGCGGCCGUAACUAUAACGGUCCUAAGGUAGCGAAAUUCCUUGUCGGGUAAGUUCCGACCUGCACGAAUGGCGUAAUGAUGGCCAGGCUGUCUCCACCCGAGACUCAGUGAAAUUGAACUCGCUGUGAAGAUGCAGUGUACCCGCGGCAAGACGGAAAGACCCCGUGAACCUUUACUAUAGCUUGACACUGAACAUUGAGCCUUGAUGUGUAGGAUAGGUGGGAGGCUUUGAAGUGUGGACGCCAGUCUGCAUGGAGCCGACCUUGAAAUACCACCCUUUAAUGUUUGAUGUUCUAACGUUGACCCGUGAUCCGGGUUGCGGACAGUGUCUGGUGGGUAGUUUGACUGGGGCGGUCUCCUCCUAAAGAGUAACGGAGGAGCACGAAGGUUGGCUAAUCCUGGUCGGACAUCAGGAGGUUAGUGCAAUGGCAUAAGCCAGCUUGACUGCGAGCGUGACGGCGCGAGCAGGUGCGAAAGCAGGUCAUAGUGAUCCGGUGGUUCUGAAUGGAAGGGCCAUCGCUCAACGGAUAAAAGGUACUCCGGGGAUAACAGGCUGAUACCGCCAAGAGUUCAUAUCGACGGCGGUGUUUGGCACCUCGAUGUCGGCUCAUCACAUCCUGGGGCUGAAGUAGGUCCCAAGGGUAUGGCUGUUCGCCAUUUAAAGUGGUACGCGAGCUGGGUUUAGAACGUCGUGAGACAGUUCGGUCCCUAUCUGCCGUGGGCGCUGGAGAACUGAGGGGGGCUGCUCCUAGUACGAGAGGACCGGAGUGGACGCAUCACUGGUGUUCGGGUUGUCAUGCCAAUGGCACUGCCCGGUAGCUAAAUGCGGAAGAGAUAAGUGCUGAAAGCAUCUAAGCACGAAACUUGCCCCGAGAUGAGUUCUCCCUGACUCCUUGAGAGUCCUGAAGGAACGUUGAAGACGACGACGUUGAUAGGCCGGGUGUGUAAGCGCAGCGAUGCGUUGAGCUAACCGGUACUAAUGAACCGUGAGGCUUAACCUU